AAAAAAUUUUAUAAAUUUUUAGAGUAAAAAAUAACAUUCCAUAUAACAUUUCAAUUGAAUUGAUUUUAUGACAACUCCAUAUUUUUUAAUAUAAUCCAAUAAAAAUCUAAUCAUGAGAGAGGAAAAGAGAGUGGAUGUGGUAUUUGUUUUAAACAAAUAACUCUAAGGCAUGUUCAUUAUUCCAAUGAUAAUUUGAACAAAAUUUUGGAAGGGAACUUGGAUCCUGUUGACAAUUCGAACAAUCUCCAAAAUUAUUAUGAAGAAUCUUUUUCAUCAAUAAAAAUAAUUAUUCUGUA